AACGAACGCUGGCGGCAUGCCUAACACAUGCAAGUCGAACGAGAUCUUCGGGUCUAGUGGCGCACGGGUGCGUAACGCGUGGGAAUCUGCCCUUUGGUUCGGAAUAACAGUUGGAAACGACUGCUAAUACCGGAUGAUGACGAAAGGCCAAAGAUUUAUCGCCAGAGGAUGAGCCCGCGUAGGAUUAGCUAGUUGGUGUGGUAAAGGCGCACCAAGGCGACGAUCCUUAGCUGGUCUGAGAGGAUGAUCAGCCACACUGGGGCUGAGACACGGCCCAGACUCCUACGGGAGGCAGCAGUGGGGAAUAUUGGACAAUGGGCGAAAGCCUGAUCCAGCAAUGCCGCGUGAGUGAUGAAGGCCUUAGGGCUGUAAAGCUCUUUUACCCGGGAUGAUAAUGACAGUACCGGGAGAAUAAGCUCCGGCUAACUCCGUGCCAGCCGCCGCGGUAA
rnacentral:rRNA from 1 species